UUGGUUGUUGUGUACGGUUAACCUUUAUGGCAUUCAAGUAAUUAGCAUGCUUUAACGUCGAAAGCGCGAAGAUGUUGGACGAUAUGUACAAACCAUUGCAAGCGCUUACACAUUAUGUUAAGAUGUUUCUAAGAUCAUAUGUACAUGGAGAAUGCAUGUCUACUACUUCCCGCCAUUUAUCUGCCGAUGAAAAUCACCUCGGAGGUUACAAAAGUUAAGUCCCUAUUCCAUAUAAAACAUUAUGAUUAUCCCGUCCUGGGAUUCGUACACCAAUACUUUCUUCAAUAGUCUUCCCUCCCAAUAUAUCCAAAUCUUCGUCAAACAUCUUAGACAGGAAAAAUUCGGCAAUAAAAUAACGAAAUCCGUUAUUGGUUAUUAACAAAAUCAAAUCUACGACCGACUUCGCUCCAUGUAGAUUUUGUGUGCCCAUCUUUGUUCCAGGUUCCGGAACGGUUGUGACUUUAUAUGCUACAUAUGUUGAGCCAACCAAUGCAACCAGAUAGUUUUGGAGUGCAUUUAUAAACAGAGCUGCUUUAUAAAGAUAGCGUUUGAAAUUUGAUUCACGUCUAUCCAAAAAUC